rnacentral:rRNA from 1 species
GACGAACGCUGGCGGCGUGCUUAACACAUGCAAGUCGAACGGAAAGGCCCUGCUUUUGUGGGGUGCUCGAGUGGCGAGCGGGUGAGUAACACGUGAGUAACCUGCCCUUGACUUUGGGAUAACUUCAGGAAACUGGGGCUAAUACCGGAUAGGAGCUCCUGCUGCAUGGUGGGGGUUGGAAAGUUUCGGCGGUUGGGGAUGGACUCGCGGCUUAUCAGCUUGUUGGUGGGGUAGUGGCUUACCAAGGCUUUGACGGGUAGCCGGCCUGAGAGGGUGACCGGCAACAUUGGGACUGAGAUACGGCCCAGACUCCUACGGGAGGCAGCAGUGGGGAAUAUUGCACAAUGGGCGGAAGCCUGAUGCAGCAACGCCGCGUGCGGGAUGACGGCCUUCGGGUUGUAAACCGCUUUCGCCUGUGACGAAGCGUGAGUGACGGUAAUGGGUAAAGAAGCACCGGCUAACUACGUG